GGGGAGUUACUUAAGAGGACGGUUUGCUAAAUCGUUAGGUCGAGAAAUCGUUGCGAGGGUUCGAAUCCCUUACUCCCCU
rnacentral:tRNA from 1 species